GCUUCCUUCUCCUCCUCCUUGGUGCAGCAAAGGGUCUAGGGACAGGUUUAGGACCUUAGGUGUAGGGAUGCAUGGUUAUGGAGGAAUGUAGUAGUGUUUAGGGGAUGGGAAUGGUGCGGCAAGAACUUAGAACUAGGGGGAAUGGUGUUUGGUGGCUGCGGCAAGAGUGUGGAGAGGGUUGGACGAAUUUCUGGAGUGAAUUGUGAAUUGUGGUGAGUGGUGUGAAUGAAUGGGUGCGGCAUCAUGUAUUUAUAGGGUCCUAAAAGUCUA
rnacentral:lncRNA from 1 species